rnacentral:rRNA from 1 species
GCGGAGGGUCCGGGAAUCGGGCCGGGGAUCUUCGGACCCCGCCCAGCUCUCGACUGGGCCCGACGCCGCGUGCACUUUCCGCGGGCAGAGCGCCACGACCGGUUUCGCGGCGGCGAUAAGCCCGUGCGGAUGCGUGGCACGAUCUCACGGUCGUGCUACGGCCGCUCGAGGUGAGCCGCUGACGGGACCGAGGAACGGCCGCGCGCUUCGAGGCUGCCCGGCCUCGCUGGGGAGUUCGACUGGCAGGGACUGGGCAACCGUGCCUGCCGACUGCUCCCCGGUGCCGGUUCGGGACAGCCGGGCGCGUC